AACGAACGCUGGCGGCAUGCCUAACACAUGCAAGUCGAACGAAGUCUUCGGACUUAGUGGCGCACGGGUGCGUAACGCGUGGGAAUCUGCCCUUGGGUGCGGAAUAACUUCUCGAAAGGGAUGCUAAUACCGCAUAAUGUCGUAAGACCAAAGAUUUAUCGCCCAAGGAUGAGCCCGCGUAAGAUUAGCUAGUUGGUGGGGUAAAAGCCUACCAAGGCGACGAUCUUUAGCUGGUCUGAGAGGAUGAUCAGCCACACUGGGACUGAGACACGGCCCAGACUCCUACGGGAGGCAGCAGUGGGGAAUAUUGCGCAAUGGGCGAAAGCCUGACGCAGCGACGCCGCGUGGGUGAUGAAGGCCUCGGUCGUAAGACCUCGUC
rnacentral:rRNA from 1 species